rnacentral:rRNA from 1 species
AGGGUUCGAUUUCGGAGAGGGAGCAUGAGAAACGGCUACCACAUCUAAGGAAGGCAGCAGGCGCGUAAAUUACCCAAUCCUGACUCAGGGAGGUAGUGACAGGAAAUAGCAAACCGGGAACCUCAUGGUUUCACGGUAUUGCAAUGAGAACAAUUUAAAACCCUUAGCGAGAAUCAAGUGGAGGACAAGUCUGGUGCCAGCACCCGCGGUAAUUCCAGCUCCACUAGCGUAUAUUAAAGUUGUUGCAGUUAAAAAGCUCGUAGUUGAACCUCUGUCUGGGGCUAGUUUUGGCUUUGGUCAGGCUAGUUCUAGGCAUCCGCCUACAAGACUUAGAGGGCAUUCAGUUGUUCACUAGGAGGAGUAGGCAUUUUACUUUGAAAAAAUUAGAGUGUUUAAGGCAGGCAAUCGCCCGCAUAUAUUAGCAUGGAAUAAUAGAAUAGGACACUUUUCCAUUUCGUUGGUUAUUGGAAUCGUGUAAUGAUUAAUAGGGACAGUUGUGGGCAUUUGUAUUUAAUUGUCAGAGGUGAAAUUCUUGGAUUUAUUAAAGACAAACUAACGCGAAAGCAUUUGCCAAGGAUGUUUUCAUUAAUCAAGAACGAAAGUUAGGGGAUCAAAGACGAUCAGAUACCGUCCUAGUCUUAACUAUAAACUAUUCCGACUCAAUGUUUGACUGGCUUAUAUAACCAGUUGAGCGGUGUAUGAGAAAUCAAAGUCUUUAGGUUCUGGGGGGAGUAUGGUUGCAAAGCUGAAACUUAAAGGAAUUGACGGAAGAGCACAACCAGGAGUGGAUUCUGCGGCUUAAUUUGACUCAACACGGGGAAACUUACCAGGUUAAAACAAUAGUGGGAUUGACAGUUUGAGAGCGCUUUCUUGAUUGGUUGGGUGGUGGUGCAUGGCCGUUCUUAGUUGGUGGAGUGAUUUGUCUGCUUAAUUGCGUUAACGAACGAGACCUUAACCUGCUUACUAGACUGGCGAUCAUCAAUCGUUAGCUCUUCUUAGAGGGACUUUGGUUGUUUUAACUCCAAGGAAGUUUGAGGCAAUAACAGGUCUGUGAUGCCCUUAGAUAUCCUGGGCCGCACGCGUCAUACAAUGACUAGUUCAGAAAGUUUUCUCCUGACCCGAAAGGGGAUGGGUAAUCUUGAUAAUACUAGUCGUGUUAGGGAUCGAUCUUUGCAAUUAUAGAUCUUGAACGAGGAAUUCCUAGUAAGUGCGGUUCAUCAGACCGUACUGAUUACGUCCCUGCUCUUUGUACACACCGCCCGUCGCUUCUACCGAGUGGGUGGUCCGGUGAGAUAAUUGAACUUCGCAGGUAACUGAGAGGAAAGAUUAUCAAACCUAUCCACCUCGAGGAAGAAGAAGUCGUAACAAGGUU